CCCAGAGGGUAGUAGGUCAACGGGCCCUCGCACCUCCCAGCGGGCGCGGAAGGCUGCACCCGGCGCGGCCUGGGCCCACGCGGUCGCGCGGCUCCGAGCUCCACGCUCCCGGCCCAGAUUCUGAGAGAAACCGCCUGGAUUCCCGUGUGGAGCUUGCAGGCAGGUGAAGGACAAGGCCCUGCCCUCGAGAAGGUCACAGUCACACAGAGCUGGGCCCAGAGACUAUGCUCUUAGCAGACUCCUGCUGAAAUGGCUCAGAGGUCCUGGGAACAUCGUCUACAACCUCCUUGAAGACCGUGGUGAGAAAAAUACAUAUACGU